UGGGGAAUUUUGGACAAUGGGCGAAAGCCUGAUCCAGCAAUGCCGCGUGUGUGAAGAAGGCCUUCGGGUUGUAAAGCACUUUUGUCCGGAAAGAAAUGGCUCUGGUUAAUACCUGGGGUCGAUGACGUUACCGGAAGAUUAAGGACCGGCUAACUACGUGCCAGCAGCCGCGGUAAUACGUAGGGUCCAAGCGGUAAUCGGAAUUACUGGGCGUAAAGCGUGCGCAGGCGGUUGUGCAAGACCGAUGUGAAAUCCCCGAGCUUAACUUUGGAAUUGCAUUGGUGACUGCACGGCUAGAGUGUGUCAGAGGGGGGUAGAAUUCCGCGUGUAGCAGUGAAAUGCGUAGAGAUGUGGAGGAAUACCGAUGGCGAAGGCGGCCCCCUGGGAUAGCACUGACGAUCUUGCACGAAAGCGUGGGGAGCAAACAGG
rnacentral:rRNA from 1 species